GUGUCUCGACAUUCGACUGUUCAGGAAAUCUCAUUCGUAUAAUCUCGUGUAUUUCCGUCGUUGGGUCGCGGUUCCCAUGCGAAAUUGUGCUCAGUUCGAAUCGCGCAGCCGCCCCCAUAGUUUGGUGCGCGGUUAAUCGAAAAAAAUGCACUAAAUCGCGAGUUUGGAUGGAAAGAAAACAUUUCGAUUUUGUGCGAUCAACAUUGCUCCAGAUAUAAUGAGAAUUGCCUAACAAGAGAAUGACGUUGGCACAUCUCGAUGCAAAUGAUAUAGCGAAAGACGCGUUGAAUGCGAUUCGAUUGUUAUUGACGCGAGGGUUGGUUGCGCGGCCAUGCCAGUUGUUGGGUCAAUGGCUUAGCCGUCAGAUGGCGCGGUGUUCGUUUCGGUCCACCCUGCCUGCGCUGGAAUGCCCUCAGCGAGGAGCUUGUCGACGCUGCCGUCUUUCGUGGAGCUUUUUUCCACGCCACGAUCAGGUGACUGGGCCAAGAACCUUUUUAGACCCUAUCAGCCGUUUCCUAAUCACUAAGGAACAUUUGUGAAUAGACGUGUAAUUUGGGAAAUGGAUAUGUGAACGCGCCAGCCGGGUGGUCCACUUUACGCGUACGGAGGUGCUGUGUUGUGUUGUGCACCAGAAGGCGGUUCCAGUGCACUCUACUUGAUCGUAUCUCAUCAUUUUAUCGUUCGACAGUGUGAUUAUGUUCAAGAUCCUGUGUUAUUUGUAUUUCAAAGCUGUGUUAUGAUCGAUGAUUAUUAGCUGAGAGAAGAAGACGAGGACGCGGCGGGCGACCGAGUUAAAGCAGAACACGGGAGUGUCGUCCACCAUUUUGGCUGCGCGAGGUUAUUCGAUGUGUGCACCAUUCUCAUCGCACGUUCGUUGUUUUCGUGGUUUGCAUCACAUCAAAUCAUUCACGAUGCUUAUGGAGUUAUCAUGUGAAUCGGGGAACAAUUGGAAAUAGUGUGUGGAAAAAUAAUUGUAAUAAGAUGAUCUCCUAAAAUCGACGCUAAAUGGAGCAAGGCGAGGGCUGUUUUCCUCGUCGCAAUCUCGAUGUUGUCAGCUGGUCAUCGAGUGGCAAUGCUGGAAUUAACUGAAGUCGUGGAAUUCAAUUAUUAUGCGAUCGGUACGUGUUACGAGUGAUUAUAAAAUUGAAAAAAAAAUAUCGUGGAUCUCGGAAGUAAACCACAGUGGAAUAGAACGAUGUCGCUUGAAAGUGGGUUACUAUAAGUGCCGUCCCUGCUAUUGGUGAAAAGCGACGUUCACUUUAGGAUAUCCUGUGCUUCUGUCAUUAUCAUUUAUAUUUGGUUCUGUCGUAUUUCUCGAUACUGGUGAAUUUGUGAGAUCGUUUCGGGAUUGCAGCUGAUCGCAUACGACAUGUCCGAGGUGGCAAACUGUAUGGAGCAUCUCGAGUGCCAUUAACCUCGUUUCGUGGCCACCUCGCGGCGAAACGAUUCCCGUUCCGCGAUUUUUUUGCGGACUUAUGUUCUCGAGGCCCGCGUUUUAACGGUAUGGGAAAUGGGCGCCGUGAUUAACGAUGAGGAAUCUGCGACGAAUGUGGGACGAGUCUUGGAAUCGUGGCGUUUGGACGCGAUCUGUAUAGUAAAUUCUCUGUGUUGAAACGCGGGAAACGAUGAAGACAUUCGCGUUGCUCGCGGAUUCAUAUCGAACUGCGCGCGUGUUACGACUGUAAGACGAUAAAACGAAGCGCAUUAUCGUCGUUCUAGUGUUUUUAACGAUUUUUUUUUCUUUUGAUCAUAAUGAUCGAAUAUACAUGGAUGGUGCUAUUAUGCAUGGUGAAAUACUGUUUUGCAGCUAGGAAUAAACAGUGACGGAAGGAAUGGUGAGGAAGGAAGGAGGAUAGGAUGAACUUAUUGUAUCGCUGACACGGAUGAAACGAAACAACACGAUGGAAACGAAGUGAGACUAUACUUUUUUUUUUUCUCUUGAUCUCCUGGAUGGGAUCUCCCAUCGGCGUAGUUUUAGAUGUAUCGUGCGAUUAUUCGACUGAAGUGAACUGGUUCGGUGUGCUCUCUCUCUCGAUCAGUGUUCCGUGUGUGUGUGGCGUUUUCGCCGCUGUUUUGACAAGGAUUACGUGUGCUGUGCACGUUACUCCGAUCCAUCAGAGACAUAAUUCUUGGCAUGCGUAGGCCGAAGGAGGAGGAAGGGGGUGAAUUGAACAGGACCGAGGAGCAUGGUGUAGUGCUCGUUUUGGGGGUUGCUGGCAGAUCAAAGGACGCGAGAGAGGGUCUGGCCGCUCUCGAGCGAUUCGAGGGCCGGUGAGCAUCGCGACGGGGCGAGCAACCCCGUUGCCUCCGCCAACGUCUAACAACCCUCCCGUCUGUCACUGUCGACGAACAACAGAACAGCUACGAUUUGGCGAUUUCUUAGAAAGACGUUGAAUGAUUCGAAUAUUCGUUUGAAUGCGAGUGAAAAAGGAUUCUAUUAUCGAAUUAAAGUAAUCGAUUCUAUCGUUUCCGAGUGGAUAAGAAUACCAU
rnacentral:lncRNA from 1 species